GAUGAACGCUGGCGGCGUGCCUAAUACAUGCAAGUCGAGCGAACGGACGAGAAGCUUGCUUCUCUGAUGUUAGCGGCGGACGGGUGAGUAACACGUGGAUAACCUACCUAUAAGACUGGGAUAACUUCGGGAAACCGGAGCUAAUACCGGAUAAUAUUUUGAACCGCAUGGUUCAAAAGUGAAAGACGGUCUUGCUGUCACUUAUAGAUGGAUCCGCGCUGCAUUAGCUAGUUGGUAAGGUAACGGCUUACCAAGGCAACGAUGCAUAGACGACCUGAGAGGGUGGUCGGCCACCCGGGAACUGGGACACGGUCCAGACUCCUACGGGAGGCAGCAGUAGGGAAUCUUCCGCAAUGGGCGAAAGCCUGACGCAGCAACGCCGCGUGAGUGAUGACGGUCUUCGGAUCGUAAAACUCUGUUAUUAGGGAAGAACAUCUGUGUAAGUAACUGUGCACAUCUUGACGGUACCUAAUCAGAAAGCCACGGCUAACUACGUG
rnacentral:rRNA from 1 species